AACCUCCGCAAUGUGAGAAAUCGCGACGGGGGGAUCCCAAGUGCCAUUCUUAACGGGAUGGCUUUUCAUUAGUGUAAAGAGCUUUUGGAAUAAGGGCUGGGCAAGACCGGUGCCAGCCGCCGCGGUAACACCGGCAGCUCUAGUGGUAGCAGUUUUUAUUGGGCCUAAAGCGUCCGUAGCCGGUUUAAUAAGUCUCUGGUGAAAUCCUGUAGCUUAACUGUGGGAAUUGCUGGAGAUACUAUUAGACUUGAGACCGGGAGAGGUUAGAGGUACUCCCAGGGUAGAGGUGAAAUUCUGUAAUCCUGGGAGGACCGCCUGUUGCGAAGGCGUCUAACUGGAACGGUUCUGACGGUGAGGGACGAAAGUUAGGGGCGCGAACCGGAUUAGAUACCCGGGUAGUCCUAACUGUAAACGAUGCGGACUUGGUGUUGGGGUAGCUUUGAGCUGCUCCAGUGCCGAAGGGAAGCUGUUAAGUCCGCCGCCUGGGAAGUACGGUCGCAAGACUGAAACUUAAAAGGAUU
rnacentral:rRNA from 1 species